UACGUAGGGGGCAAGCGUUGUCCGGAAUUAUUGGGCGUAAAGAGCGCGUAGGCGGUCUGGUAAGUCGGUUGUGAAAGUCGGGGGCUCAACCCUCGGAUGCCGAUCGAUACUGUCAGGCUAGAGUCCGGAAGAGGCGAGUGGAAUUCCUGGUGUAGCGGUGAAAUGCGCAGAUAUCAGGAGGAACACCAAUGGCGAAGGCAGCUCGCUGGGACGGUACUGACGCUGAGGCGCGAAAGCGUGGGGAGCAAACAGG
rnacentral:rRNA from 1 species